rnacentral:SRP_RNA from 1 species
GCCGGGCGCGGUGGCUCACGCCUGUAAUCCCAGAACUUCGGGAGGCUGAGGCAGGUGGAUCACCUGAGGUCAGGAGUUUGAGAUCAGCCUGGCCAACAUGGUGAAACCCUGUCUCUA